UACGAAGGGGGCUAGCGUUGCUCGGAAUCACUGGGCGUAAAGCGCACGUAGGCGGAUUGCUAAGUCAGGGGUGAAAUCCUGGAGCUCAACUCCAGAACUGCCUUUGAUACUGGCGAUCUCGAGUUCGGGAGAGGUGAGUGGAACUGCGAGUGUAGAGGUGAAAUUCGUAGAUAUUCGCAAGAACACCAGUGGCGAAGGCGGCUCACUGGCCCGGUACUGACGCUGAGGUGCGAAAGCGUGGGGAGCAACAGGAUUAAGAAACCCU
rnacentral:rRNA from 1 species